rnacentral:rRNA from 1 species
AUUGAACGCUGGCGGCAUGCUUUACACAUGCAAGUCGAACGGUAACAGGGAGCUUGCUCCGCUGACGAGUGGCGAACGGGUGAGUAAUGCAUCGGAACGUGCCGUGUAAGUGGGGGAUAACGUAGCGAAAGUUACGCUAAUACCGCAUACGCCCUGAGGGGGAAAGCGGGGGAUCGUAAGACCUCGCGUUAUACGAGCGGCCGAUGUCGGAUUAGCUAGUUGGUGGGGUAAAGGCCUACCAAGGCGACGAUCUGUAGUUGGUCUGAGAGGACGACCAGCCACACUGGGACUGAGACACGGCCCAGACUCCUACGGGAGGCAGCAGUGGGGAAUUUUGGACAAUGGGCGCAAGCCUGAUCCAGCAAUGCCGCGUGAAGGAAGAAGGCGCUACGCGUUGUAAACUUCUUUUGGGUGGGACGAAAAUAAUCCAUUUAUGGAUAGCUGACGGUACCAUCAGAAUAAGCACCGGCUAACUCCGUG